UGGGGAAUAUUGCACAAUGGGCGCAAGCCUGAUGCAGCCAUGCCGCGUGUGUGAAGAAGGCCUUCGGGUUGUAAAGCACUUUCAGCGAGGAGGAAGGUGGGUGAGCUUAAUACGCUCAUCAAUUGACGUUACUCGCAGAAGAAGCACCGGCUAACUCCGUGCCAGCAGCCGCGGUAAUACGGAGGGUGCAAGCGUUAAUCGGAAUUACUGGGCGUAAAGCGCACGCAGGCGGUUUGUUAAGUCAGAUGUGAAAUCCCCGGGCUCAACCUGGGAACUGCAUUUGAAACUGGCAAGCUAGAGUCUCGUAGAGGGGGGUAGAAUUCCAGGUGUAGCGGUGAAAUGCGUAGAGAUCUGGAGGAAUACCGGUGGCGAAGGCGGCCCCCUGGACGAAGACUGACGCUCAGGUGCGAAAAGCGUGGGGCAGCAAACAGGAUUAGAUACCCUGGUAGUCCACGCUGUAAACGAUGUCGAUUUUGGAGGUUGUGCCCUUGAGGCGUGGCUUCCGGAGCUAACGCGUUAAAUCGACCGCCUGGGGGAGUACGGCCGCAAGGUUAAAACUUAAAUGAAUU
rnacentral:rRNA from 1 species